CGCGUAGGUGGCCUGAUAAGUAGGGGGUGAAAUCCUGGGGCUUAACCUCAGGGCUGCCUUCUAGACUGUCCGGCUUGAGCACAGUAGAGGCAGGUGGAAUUCCCGGUGUAGCGGUGGAAUGCGUAGAGAUCGGGAAGAACAUCGGUGGCGAAGGCGGCCUGCUGGGCUGUUGCUGACACUGAGGGCGACAGCGUGGGAGCAAACA
rnacentral:rRNA from 1 species